UACGGAGGGGGCUAGCGUUGUUCGGAAUUACUGGGCGUAAAGCGCACGUAGGCGGCUUUGUAAGUUAGAGGUGAAAGCCUGGAGCUUAACUCCAGAACUGCCUUUAAGACUGCAUCGCUUGAAUCCGUGAGAGGUGAGUGGAAUUCCGAGUGUAGAGGUGAAAUUCGUAGAUAUUCGGAAGAACACCAGUGGCGAAGGCGGCUCACUGGACCGGUAUUGACGCUGAGGUGCGAAAGCGUGGGGAGCAAACAGG
rnacentral:rRNA from 1 species